GGGCCCGCACAAGCGGUGGAGCAUGUGGGUUUAAAUUCGAUGAUACGCGAGGAACCUUACCAGGACUUAAAUGUAAGUUGCAUGAUUCAGAAAUGAAUCUUUCUUCGGACUACUUACAAGGUGCUGCAUGGUUGUCGUCAGCUCGUGCCGUGAGGUGUCAGGUUAAGUCCUAUAACGAGCGCAACCCCUAUCGUUAGUUGCCAUCAAGUAAAGUUGGGAACUCUAGCGAAACUGCCGGUGCAAACCGAGAGGAAGGUGGGGAUGACGUCAAAUCAUCACGGCCCUUACGUUCUGGGCUACACACGUGCUACAAUGGUCGGUACAGAAAGCAGCCACUAUGCGAAUAGGAGCUAAUCUUCAAAGCCGGUCUCAGUUCGGAUCGCAGUCUGCAACUCGACUGCGUGAAGCUGGAAUCGCUAGUAAUCG
rnacentral:rRNA from 1 species